UACGGGGGGUGCAAGCGUUAUUCGGAUUUAUUGGGCGUAAAGAGCGCGUAGGCGGUUUAUCAAGUCAGAUGUGAAAGCCCUGGGCUCAACCUGGGAAGUGCAUUUGAAACUAGUAGACUUGAGUAUGGGAGAGGGGAGUGGAAUUCCUGGUGUAGAGGUGAAAUUCGUAGAUAUCAGGAGGAACACCGGUGGCGAAGGCGACUUCCUGGACCAAUACUGACGCUGAGGCGCGAAGGCGUGGGGAGCAAACAGGAUUAGAUACCCUGGUAGUCCACGCAGUAAACGGUGAUCACUAGGUGUAGCGGGUAUUGACCCCUGCUGUGCCGCAGUUAACGCAUUAAGUGAUCCGCCUGGGGAGUACGAUCGCAAGGUUA
rnacentral:rRNA from 1 species